UCCCGCGUGGGGGCAAACCUGACUAGCCAUGCCGCGUGAGUGAUGAAGGCCUUAGGGUUGUAAAGCUCUUUCGUGGGGGAAGAUAAUGACUGUCCCCCCAGAACAAGCCCCGGCUAACUCCGUGCCAUCAGCCCCGGUAAUACGGAGGGGGCCAGCCUUGUUCGGAAUUACUGGGCGUAAAGCGCACGUAAGCGGAGGGAGAAAUCCGAGGUGAAAUCCCAAGGCUCAACCUUGGAACUGCCUUUGAAACUUUCUGUCUUGAGGUCCAGAGAGGUGAGUGGAAUUCCUAGUGUAGAGGUGAAAUUCAUUCAUCUUCUGAGGAACACCUGUGGCGAAGGCUGCUCAAUGGCUCGAUACUGACGCUGAGGUGCGAAA
rnacentral:rRNA from 1 species